UACAGGGGCCGGCACCAGGGGGUUAUCGCAGCAGCUGUCACGAUGCUGGGAUCCCUGGUGUUGAGGAGAACAGCGCCGGCGCCGCGGCUGCUCCUCCAGCUGCUUAGGUCCCCAUCGCUCCGGAGCCGUGGGAGUGCCACCGACCGGAGUGUGACCACCGGGGGACGCGGGGAGCCUCAGUGGCUGAGGGCAGCCAUCGGGGGGCGCCCUGGAACAUCGCCGGCCUUACUCACAAGAGAAGGGACAGCCACUGGGGGGCGCCAGAGGGGAGGUACCGAGACCCCCUGCCUCGCAGCCGCCACGUGGGGACGCCUUCCUAGCCCCGAAGACACUCUGCCUGGACAGGACAGCUGGAACGGGGCCCUCAACAGGGCCAGAAUGGGCGUGUGGGCGCUGGCAACGGUGCUGGUGGUACACUGUUACAGCAAGAGCCCGUCCAACAAGGAUGCAGCCCUGAUGGAAGCUGUUCGAGCCAACAAUGUCCAAGAAGUCAACAGGCUGUUGUCGGAAGGUGCUGAUGUCAAUGCAAGGCACAAACUUGGCUGGACAGCACUCAUGGUGGCAGCCAUCAACCGAAACGACAGUGUGGUGCAGGUCCUGCUUGCAGCUGGUGCUGACCCAAACCUCGGGGAUGAUUUCAGCAGUGUUUACAAGACUGCCAAGGAGCAGGGAAUCCAUUCUUUAGAAGUCCUGGUCACCCGAGAGGAUGACUUCAACAACCGGCUGAACAACCGUGCCAGCUUCAAGGGCUGCACAGCCCUGCACUAUGCUGUCCUUGCCGACGACUACCGCACCGUCAGGGAGCUGCUUGGUGGAGGAGCUAACCCCCUGCAGAGGAAUGAAAUGGGACACACACCCUUGGAUUAUGCUCGAGAAGGGGAGGUGAUGAAGCUCUUAAGGACUUCUGAGGCCAAGUACCAAGAGAAGCAGCGGAAACGUGAGGCCGAGGAACGGCGCCGCUUUCCCCUGGAGCAGCGGCUGAAGGAGCACAUCAUUGGCCAGGAGAGUGCCAUCGCCACAGUAGGUGCUGCGAUCCGGAGGAAGGAGAAUGGCUGGUACGACGAAGAACACCCUCUGGUCUUCCUCUUCCUGGGAUCAUCUGGAAUAGGAAAAACAGAACUGGCCAAGCAGACAGCCAAAUAUAUGCACAAAGAUGCCAAAAAGGGUUUCAUCAGGCUUGACAUGUCUGAGUUCCAGGAGCGGCAUGAGGUGGCCAAAUUUAUUGGGUCCCCACCAGGCUACAUCGGCCAUGAGGAGGGUGGCCAGCUGACCAAGAAGCUGAAGCAGUGCCCCAACGCUGUGGUGCUCUUCGAUGAGGUGGACAAAGCCCAUCCAGAUGUGCUCACCAUCAUGCUGCAGCUGUUUGAUGAGGGCCGGCUGACAGAUGGAAAAGGGAAGACCAUCGACUGCAAGGACGCCAUCUUCAUCAUGACCUCCAACGUGGGCAGUGACGAGAUAGCACAGCACGCGCUGCAGCUGAGGCAGGAAGCUUUGGAGAUGAGCCAUAACCGGAUCGCCGAGAACCUUGGGGAUGUCCAGACUAGUGACAAGAUCACCAUCUCUAAGAACUUCAAGGAAAAUGUGAUUCGCCCCAUCCUAAAAGCUCACUUCAGGAGAGAUGAGUUUCUGGGACGAAUCAAUGAGAUCGUCUACUUCCUCCCCUUCUGCCACUCGGAGCUCAUCCAACUCGUCAACAAGGAGCUGAAUUUCUGGGCCAAGAGAGCCAAGCAAAGGCACAACAUCACACUGCUCUGGGACCGUGAGGUGGCAGACGUGUUGGUUGACGGCUACAACGUGCACUAUGGCGCCCGCUCCAUUAAGCAUGAGGUGGAGCGCCGUGUGGUAAACCAGCUGGCGGCCGCCUACGAGCAGGACCUGCUGCCAGGGGGCUGCACUCUGCGCAUCACUGUGGAGGACUCAGACAAGCAGCUACUCAAGAGUCCUGAACUGCCCUCACCCCAGGCUGAGAAGCGUCCACCCAAGCUGCGGCUGGAGAUCAUCGAUAAGGACAGCAAGACCCACAGAUUGGACAUCCAGGCACCACUAAACCCUGAGAAGGUGAUUAGAACUCCCAGCUCUUAAAAUCGGCACAUGGAAUCCAGGCUCUCUGAGCACAGGCUCCGGACGCACAAGCUCAGCGGCCAUGGCUCACGGGCCUAGCCGCUCCGCGGCAUGUGGGAUCCUCCCGGACCCGGGCACGAACCCAUGUCCCAUGCAUCGGCAGGCGGACUCUCAACCACUGCGCCACCAGGGAAGCCAAGUGUGUGUUGUUUUAAGCUAUUAUACAGUGAUGACACUGAGGACAUUGCUUCAGAGAGUGAGAAGAUGCAUUUCAAAGAUAUGGGAAGGCCUAUGAUGUGCAGUGAUGCCAUAGACAUCGUGGGUAGGCUGCAGAGAAAGUGAUCAACAUGAGGACACAGCUCUGCCCUGAGACCUUGCACUUUAUUGCAAAUACUUCAACAAGGUGAGUAACCAAAAGAGAGGGAGGUACUGUGGGACACCCAACCUAGUCUAGGGGUAUCAGGGAAGGCUUCCAGGAAGCAGUGACUUCCAAGUUGAUACCCAGUGGACAAACAAGCGUCAACCAGGUUUUGGCUUGCUUUUUGGCGAGGGAUAGGGGGAGUGUGGUGGGAUGGAGACUGGAAUGAACAUUCCAGCCAGAGAGAACAGCUCUGAACUAAAAGAUCAAUGUGUGAGGGCUGCAAAGAAAACCACGGUGAGGAGGAAGCAGACUGGAGCACUGGCAUGGAGGACAUUGUGGGCCAGAAUGGAUUUGAUCCUGAGGGCAAUGGAGAGCCAAGGGAGGUCUAAGGAAGAGAGCAGUGGCACUGUCUGAUUUCCCAAUUGUGAGAUCACUUGGGUCCCUGGGUCAAGGUAGAGAGGUGCACCUCCCACACCAGUGGAGAGAACAUUUUGAAUCAGUUUUGCUCUCAGUUUUAGAAGCUUAGACCUAAAAAUAAUUAGAGAAAAUACCUCAAAGAAACACCCUGAAAAGGAGUGGUUACAGAAAUGGGGAUAGGUGUCCUUGUGUUAAGCAAAGAAUGAGUGGCCAGGGAAGUGAAUCACCUGAGGGUGGGCAUGCUCCCCACUGUGCUGGUAAGCUGGGGGGAGGGAUUCCAGGAGCCGUCUCUCAACCCCCGAGGACUCUGGUUGGUGACAAGGGGGCCCCCCUGCCUUCUUGCUGGGUCUCCACUUCUCCACCUGCAGAACUUGCCAAGAUUGGGUGCAGGAGGCUGGGGGUUGGGUGGGAAAGCUGCUAAAUCCUCCUUAGGUGAGCUGCGGGGGUGGAAGAGUUCUCUAGUCUCUUCUCCUGGAAAGGAUUCUGUAUCCUGUGGCCCCACAGUAUGGAGGCCAAUGGCUAAGUCCGUGGAGCGCGUCUGUGGCCAAGUCCAGACUGAGUCUAGGUGGUUUUCCUGAAGAAGAAAAAGGCCUCUGCAGGAGGGGGUGGAAGCUGAGAAAGAGUGAAGGGGUCAUUUGGUUACUCCCCAGUCUUGACAUUCAUCACACACACACACACUCUGUGCCGAGGGUGCUGGGGACCAGAGACUCACACCCAGCAGCAGCGGGGAGAGGGGCUGAACUGUGGGACCUGGGGGAGGGGAGAGGCAGGCUGGGCCUUGAAGGUGCAGGGCAGGGUCCUGUGGCCUUCAGGACAAGUUAGGAGAGAGGCAACCCUCCCCCUCUGCAGCUUCACACCGCGCCUCCACUACAGUCCUUCUGCCCGCUGGGCGCUCCAGCUGGUGGGUCUCGGCUCUCCAAAGGCUCUUUCUCUCCGCCCCUUAGCCUCUGUUCCUCUGUUGUGUCUGUCCCUGGCCUUGUCUCACUGAGACUGACCCUCCGUGUGUGUCUGUCUCACUAUCACUGCCCUGUUUUGUCUCAUCUCUCUCUUCAUCUCCAUCACAAUCCUUCUUUCCAACCGUGUCUCUUCCCUGUGUUUUCUGUCUCCAUGCCUGCCUCACUUGCUUUCUCUGUACCCCUCUCAUCUCUCUCUUAUCUUUGUCUCCUCUAUCUCUGCCUUGUCCCACCUCCUUCCCUUCCUUCCUCUUGUACAUGUUUCACCUUUGUCGCCACCUCUGUCCCUGUCUCCCUCUUGCCGCCCACCCCCCCCCGCCCACGUCUCCAAUCUAUCUCUCUCGUCCAUGUCUCAUCCUUAUCUCCAUCUGUGUACCUGUAUCUCUCUUGUCCCUUUCUCCAUCUUUCUCCAUCACUGUUUCUGUCCCUUUCUCUCCCUGUCUCCGUCUCUGUCUCCUCUCUUCAUCCACAUCCUCUGUCCCCAUCUCAGGCCCCGUCUCUUCCUCGUCCUUGUCUUCAUUCCCCCUCCUGAGCCAUCUCCGUGGUCCCUUCCGGGAUGGGACCUCGCUGGGGGCGGGGCCGAGGGACUGGAUCGGAAUAACUCGGUUAUCAGGACGAAUUGAAUUAACUUCUUCACACGAGCGCCGCCGGGCCUGUUUCCCCUCCCUUCUGCGGGGCCGCAGGUGGAGAGGCCAGGGAGAGGGGUCGGGACCCUACGGCUGGGCACGAUGCAUAGACUGAAGGUCUGGUCCGGAUUGGGGCGGGAUGGGGGACUCUAGGGAUGGGGCCCCGCGCAGCCUGCCCUGCACAUCCCGAGCUCUAAGAGGGCGGUGGCGACCCUUU